UUGAUCCUGGCUCAGAAUCAACGCUGGCGGCGUGCCUAACACAUGCAAGUCGAACGAGAAAGUGGAGCAAUCCAUGAGUACAGUGGCGACCGGGUGAGUUACACGUGACUAACCUACCUUCGAGUGGGGGAUAACCUCGGGGAAACCGAUGCUAAUACCGCAUAACAUCGAGAGAUCAAAGGAGCAAUUCGCUUGAAGAUGGGGUCGCGGCUGAUUAGCUAGUUGGCGGGGUAAUGGCCCACCAAGGCGUAGAUCGGUAGCCGGCCUGAGAGGGCGCACGGCCACACUGGAACUGAAACUCGGUCCAGACUCCUACGGGAGGCAGCAGUGGGGAAUUUUGCGCAAUGGGUGAAACCCUGACGCAGCAACGCCGCGUGGAGGAUGAAGCCCCUUGGGGUGUAAACUCCUUUCGACCAAGACGAUAAUGACGGUACUGGUGGAAGAAGCACUGGCUAACUCUGUGCCAGCAGCCGCGGUAAUU
rnacentral:rRNA from 1 species